GCUGGGCGUGGUGGCACACGCCUGUAGUCACAGCUACUUGGGAGGCUGAGGUGGGAGGAUUGCUUGAGCCCAGGAGGUUGAGGCUGCAGUGAGCCAUGAUUGUACCACUGCACUCCAGCCUAGGCAACAAAGCAAGACCCUGUCUCAA
rnacentral:SRP_RNA from 2 species